rnacentral:lncRNA from 1 species
AGGUGUUUUCUCCUUUUAAGUAACUGCGUUGAGACUCAUCGAUCAAAAUUAGGGGAGUGUGGCUGCACGUGAGACUUCCUGGAAUACCACAAAGUGAGCGGGAAAUUGGGACCCACUUCUAACAUGGAAAAAAAUUACAGAGGAAAACAGAAAGCUAUUUUUGGCACGCUGAAUUCAGUAGAUGAAAAGCUGAGAUAAUCCUAUAGGAACUGUUUUGGAUCUUGAACAAGUCUAAUGGGGAGUGAAUAGGCAGCUUCAAGGGUCCUGACAAAGUGUGCAAGUGACAAAUGAAAGGAAGAUGUUCAUUUAUACACACUAUGUGUGAUCUUCUCUAGGGCUGGGGUAUGAAUUUUGCUCUUGACCACAGUCUUCCUUCUACUUUUGUUAAGCUGUUCCAAAAAGCAGGCCCUUGGAGAAGUGUUCAGCACUAUAGGAACUCUGGAUUUACGUUGGAUGCUUUUUAAAAGAGUGGCAGAGGACAUCACGUCAGUGAGAUUUCACCAAUUCAAGGAAAAACCUUGAAAACUCUAAUCAAGUCUGUCCCAUAUUCAUGCAACAGUAAAGACAAAAGGAUGUAAGUGCAUCAAAGUCUGUUUUUGAGUCUGACUGUAAAGAAUAAGUUAUUAUUCUUUGGAUUAUUUUUUUUUACAUUUCAAUGUUAUUUGUUGGCUCACAGAUAUUUCUUUUUCUUUCUCACACCUCAUACUUUGGCAUGACAACCUCUAAGCAAAUGCUACCAAGAUUACAUUAGGAAACCUCACUCAACAAUGCAGGUACAGUAAAAGAAAAAUGAAAAUGAAAACAAAAAAAAACUCAGGAGAGAAAAAAAAAAAAAAUACCAACAAACAUGACAGAACCGCUUUGUUUCCCAAAUUAUCAUCAGGCUGUCCAGACAUGGAGAAGCAGUGAACAGCUAUCACAGUGUGGAUAAUAUAGAGAAGUGCUUCCAGGAACAAUGGGAGCAGCCUCCCGUAUGCAGAAUGGGAGCUGUCAGUGGGAAUUAGUGUCCCACAGAUCCUCCCCAUCUCCCAGUGACGGAUCCAGAAGGUGUGCUUGUGGGGUCAGGUGGGAAGGCAAAGCACUGAAGGUUGCAACACAUCCAGUGUAUAGAGAGUAUUAUCAAAUUACUUUGUCAUCUUUAACAGCCCUGCAGGGACUGCAGUGGAAUCUCAGUCCCUUUUUUAAUGAAUGGAAGUUUUACCCCGAAUAGUAAGAGCAAGAUAAAUACUUUUAGCUGUUUUACUUAGCUCAUUUUUUCUUUUCCUCCCUUUUUUUUUUUUCCUUUAAUUUUAAAUAAUUACUGUUUUAAAGCCAGCCAAGGCACAUAGGGUUAAAGAUGUAAAAUCUCAGCAUGGUGCAAUAAAGCUGAUACUGAAAUAGUGUAUCCCUACUGUAGGAGGAAUCUGCAAUCAGGACUUCCAAGCACAUGCAAAAAAUAACUCUUGGAUCAGUCUUCUUGUCUUCCAGUAGACUUGGCAAGAAAGGCAAGCCAUAUGUGAAGCCAGCCAUAUAUCAGUUAUGUGGUCUUAGAUAUUUGCAAUAAAACAAAGGACUUUGCUGUCAGCCCUUCCUGAUUUCAUGAAGCCUUUACAGCUCACAGUAAUGUCUCUUUAUCAAAACCCACAAAGUUAUCCUUAGACAUGUGCAUUUCUUAGGGAAAAUAUUCUCUGAAAUAGCUAUUUAUGAUUAAAUCCAUCAGGGAAAGGGGAAGACAUGAAAGGACUUAAUACAGCCAGUUUCAGCCAUGCUGAAUGCAUCUAGGAAUAACAAACGAGUGUAAAAACAAUUAAAAAUAAAAUAAGUAAGACUGGGGGAAGGGAAGAGGGUAGAAGAAUUAAAAUAGACAUACACAAAACAAUAUGAUCAAGAAUGAAAUCUUUGUGACAGUGAUGUGGAUGCCCUGGUAAAUUAAGUGGAACUAAAACUUCACACCAGAAUUGCUCCUGGCCAUUUAUUUAGGCAGUAUUAGCCAGCAGUUUCAUGCAGGGAUCGUGCUAGGAGUGGGUUCAAGGAAAAAAUUUUGUAAGGGUGUUUUUCCCAGCCAAUGUGAGGUGGAUGGUCUGCACACAGGGAACAAGAAAGAUGGCUGAGAAUAGUUCAGAGUGAGCCACGAAGAGAGGUCAGGAGCUAAUGAAAAGUUAGCCCCCGGACCUGCAAAACCACGGGGAUGUGAACAGCCCUAUGCGUGUGAUUGCUCAGUUAUGUGAAGUUCACUGCGUGCUCAAGCUCAGGGUAAGAACUUGUUUGAUUUGAUGUAGUAGUGAGAGGAGUCAGGGGCGGGAUUUGAAAAGUGACGUGAUUGCAGCAGUGCUUUUCUGAAACAACUUUACAGAAAAAAUUCGGAGAGUGCAUUCCUUACAAAACUGAUAAGGUGUUACUAUAGAACUGCAGUAAUGACUUUGGCAAACAGUUUGUGCAAAUUUCUAGACUAUAAUUGCAAAUGUGGAUUUUUAAUCAAAUAUUAUUAACUAUUACAUAAUGAAAAGAAAUAAAAUCCCAAUAGACAGAUUAGCAUUUUUACUCUCUUUAAAAAACCUGUUUUACAAUGUUCCUUUGAGCCAUAUCCUAAGUUUUAAAAGCAUUUGGGUUUUCUAGAUCAGAUUCUGCAAGGCUCUUGGGCUAACUUUAAGUAUGUGAUUUGUCUAAUUGGAAUUAGCAGCUUGCAACCACGUAUGUUCCUAAGGAUCUUGCCAUGUCAUGCAGGUUUUCUUUUUUUUUUUUUUUCCUACCUUAAAACCCAAUCAAACAAACAAAAACCAUAGUUAAAAUCGACUCCUGUCCCACCUCUUUUUGUUUAUUUAUUUAUUUUAAAUUCCCCUAUGUUAAAUCUUCACAAAAUCUUUCUUAUCACCUCGUGGAUUAAUUGCCAGUGAAAUAUUUGCUUUGGAAUGAGUAUCUCUUACUAAUGUGUCCUGCUCAGUGUUUAUGACUUAUAACUAUUCAGGGCAACAUACUAUAUUAUACAAAUAUUUGAAGCAAUCACAAGGGGGGCAAUGCUUUAACAUAAUCCUUCACUCACAAGUUGCCCUUGCAGCCCUUUUCAGUUACUUUUCAUUAUUUCACCACAGGGGAACAGUCUCAAUAAAUUAUUGUAUUAACAAUUACAUUAAAAAUGAGCCCUGGAACCCCUUUCUCUACCCCAGUAAAUGUCAUUUAACAGUUUUUGGUGUGGAAAUAUGCAACAGAUAAGUCAAGUGGGUUUUUCUUCUACUUCUUACAGAGGUAUGAAAAUAUCAGUAGAUGCUCAGAUCUCCGCUACUCAAAACAUUACGGGUCAGAUCCGAGCAGAGUGGAGAGGUCAGUGCUCCAUCAUCACAGCUUUAUAUCAUUAUGGGCUUUAGGGCAUAAUAGCCUGCAAGGAUGCUUGGUUAAAAGAUGGGAAGGAAACCUGAAAAAGGUUAAUUACGGCACGCACAGCACUUGACAGUUCCUUUUCAAUCUGAUUCAGCUCAGCUGUGAAUGCCACUGUGUCUUCUGCACAAAGAUCCCGCUCGCUGCUAUGCCACUUGCUGUCACCCCAAGGCAGUUGCGUGGUUUGCCCACAAGGACAGAUCCCAACCCCAAACACUGCAUGUUUUCCAAAGGGUGCACCUGCUUUGCUGUGGAUUUGGUGCUUAGAGCUUGCUGUCUGAAGCCUUAACACCCAGAAACUUGUUUUGACAGUUUGGGUUAUGUUCGUUAGGGAAUCCAAGGAGGGAAUAUCUCUGGAGGGGGCAGGGAGGAGAGGGAAAGAAGCACAAACAAAACAAAAACUUAAGCCUGUGACUAAUUGGCUGAAAGGAUGUGAGCAAUUCGGCUCCACUUAAUUGAAUGUGGGCUCAAAUUAAAAAGAAAGAGUAAUUGCCUUCAAAACUUUGCAUUGUAGAUUGCUGGUGAAAGGCUUAGAAGGUGAAAGCCUUAAAGCACAUGUGUCAGUGAUGUUGUUGACAGGAACCCAAAUAUCCUGUUAUAUGCAUCUGCAUUCAGAGGACUUCAUUCUAGAAGGGAUUAGCCUACAUUAUAUUGAUGGUUUUAUUUACAAGAUGAAUUUUCAUUAAAAAGGUACCCUGAUUUUUGCUAGAAAUUUCAGAAUGUGACCAUGCCUUCUAACUGCUAGCUGCCUUCUAAACAUUUCCUGAUCAGAGAACCUGAAAAUAGCUCUUCAGAUUUCAAAGUAAAUAUAAAGAAUCUCUGCAUUUGGUUACAAAUCCGCAUAUUCUUAUUCAUUUGUUCCUUCAAAUUUAGGGAGAACUUCAUCUGAGCAAAGGGAUAGUUGUGUUAAACACAAAUAACCAGGGAGUAGGGAGUCAAGGAAUUUACCUUGAAAGUACAAAUCUGAGUUAUGAGACCUUUUUAAAUAAAAAUCAGGAAUUAACUCAUGCGGUCUGUACAUUGCCAUUUAUUCUUUACAUCAAAGCUGCAUCCACAAGUUCUAGCCCCAUUGUGCUAUGCACAAAGACACAGAACAAAAGAAAUGUCCUACCUCUCAAAAUAAUUCUCUGCAAGAGUAACAAAGACCCUUUGUUUGCUAUUUAAGCAAGAUUGGUGGACAUCAUCUUUAAGAAGAAGCUCUGAGAAUCAACCUUUUCUGUCCUUUUCCAAAUAUGCAUAUGCACAUUUUUUGUGAGUCUGCUACAGUAAAAAGGCUCCUAAAGGAAAGAAUGGAGCAGAGCAAAAGGAAAAUAUUACUUUAUAUUAAUAACAAAUGGAGUGCACAACGCAUUCCACAUACAAAGGUUACCCAUCUACAGAGAUGGAAGCCAAGGGCAUUUUAAAACUUAAAGAUCCUUUAAAUAAACAUAUUGGUUUAAGUAGGAAGCAAAUAUUCUUAGCUCAGCAGGUAGUUGGUAUCUAAAUCACAUUCAGACUUCACAUAAAUACACAUGUCAAAGCAUUUAUCUAGUAAUAAAAAAAACAACUCUUAAGGAAUGCAGUUCAGAUAGGGAAGUGUCAGGUAUUUUGCACAUUUCCUAUUUCCAGCUCAUUAGUUUCAGCUUUUGACAGGGGUGGAGCUGAAAGAGGGGGUCAGAAAUCCUGUGGAGGUUUUUCUCUCCUCCCAAUUUCACAUGAAUAAACAGAGGGAGGGAGUCCCCUGCCUGUCUGCCAGGCUCUUAUCUAUCAUAUUUAGAUGCUAGAUGCUGUCAGAUACUAGAUAGCAAUGCCUGUAGGUAUUGCCAGUUACUGGGAAAUUAAACCUGGAACAGAAGAUACUCCUUUUCAUUCCCAAACUGACCUUAUGAUAUGAGUAGGUUUCAACAUCCUUCAAAAAACACUGAUGUCCAGACAAAGGUGGCAUUAUUAUAUUUUCAUCAUUUGCUACUCACACCUGAUUAUUAUUAUUUUUUUUCUCAUGUUGUCCACAAGUCUCUUACCAGCACCUUAUCUGUACCUUUUCUUUUGCCUACAUUAAUGUGUUCCUCUCAAAUCCAGGUUCUCUCACUCCGGAAGUUGUGGGUUUAGUACUGCACUGCUGGUUUUAAUUUGAACUUUCCUGAGUAUUAGGGAUUAUCAGAAAUACCUUGUUUUCAAAAAUAAAAUAGAAAGUGAAAAAAUAUACCUAGUUUUCCUUUAUUUCCCUAAAAAACAUUUCAGAAAAUGACAAUGCUUCCCUAGAGAGCGUUACUGUAAGAGGGACUUCGAUCUAAUUCGUGGAAUAUGUGCCUAUGAUCACUAACAGUCAAGUUAGCAAUUACCACCCUUGUGCAAGAAGAUACACACUGUAAGCCAAGAUAAGAUAUCCACACAAGCACACUGUCCCUACUAGCAGUAGAACAAACCUAGCCAGCACAAACUGCAAUAUAAAUGCUUUCAUGCAUUCAGCUGCUCUUUCAUCUGAAGGCUGAUAAAUUCCAGCUGAUGGAAGUUAACUUCUUAAGACACUGUUGGAGCAUCCCUUGGUUUGUUGUUGGUAGGAUAUAAAUUAAUAUUGAUAUUUAAGGUACUUUGUUUACAGAGAGGAAAGCCAGCAAUAUGGCCUAACUUUUGACUGAGUGAGGUCUCAGAGGUUACUUUGCACUGGCAUGAUCAUCCACACCUUUGGAUUACUUUUUGAAAAAUCUUUGUGGAUCAUGAGAUGCUUCUACUGUGAUAUGAAAAGAAAAUGACUGGCUUUGAUUUGAUGGUCAGGUGGAAUUUCAGUUUGGUUCCUAUCACCUCUCAGACUUGCUUAGAUGAUUCUGUUCCUAAAGUCUGUAUGGGUGUCAGGAAGAACAAUUAUGACUUGUUUUAAAGCUGUUCUGUUAGGGUCACAGGUGAAGUAAAAGACCCAUAACAUUUACCAAUAAUCAUUAGGACAGAGCAUAAGUAUUCACUUUGAAUUAACUUGUAAGCUAGAAGCAUUAACAAAGGCUGCAGGAAGUAUAAUUCUGGGAGGCUCAAAUCUGAAAUUUAUUUUGUCGCACUGUCAUAAAGGGGGUGCAACUUCUUUAAUGGAUUUGAGCCGUUACUAAAUGCAGUAGAGAACCAUAGGAUUCAGUGGACUUCACACAGCCAGGAGUUCAGAGUCUGCCCACUGUGGCUGGUGAGCUAUUUCAGAUGUCUGUUUCUAGCAGAAAUAGACCCGAAAGUGGGUUUACUCUCAAAGAAGAAAAAAGUAGGGUGAUGUAAAUUUCUCUUAAUUUGAGACUACAUUAUGGCCUGCUGCUGCUCAGUCAAAGAAGAUCAAAAAAAAAAAAAAAAAAAAAAAAAAAAUAGUUGCCUUUCUUGCUCUGAGUUUCUAACUGUCCUGCUCAGAUUGUGAAGCUAACAGUAGCUAAUAAAGGAGUAAGUGAACCAAACAUGAAUAACAUUUAGUUUAAAACCUAUCAGAUGGCAGAUGGGCCAUGUCUCAUAGGUGUCGUGGAGACAGUUCAGUGGAGAAGAUGCUGACCUAAUGGUGGCAAGAAUAUACUCCUGCCACUGCUGAUCAUUUUUCAUGGAUUCCCAGUUGGUUGUUUGAUAUGCAACUCCAAAAUUUAUUGUUUUUCUCCUUUUUCUUUCCUUUCUGUCAGCCAAUAAAGAGAAACCAUAACAUCAGCAGUGUUUGAAAACAUAUUUAUGUUUGUUUCCCCUAUAAAAAGAGAUAAUAAUGUUAUGUUCCAAUAAUAUUAAGUUGCAAUGUUAUUUGCAAGAUUGCAGAGCUUUUAAUUUUCUGAUUAUUUCCACAGUGGGAGUUUCAGCUCAAUUUCUACUAAGACAUUUCUAUCUGUUUUGGUUAUUUUUUUAUUACAGCUAGAAGCAACAAUAAUUGCCUUUAGUGUAUGAAAACAUGACUGAGGAGACAAUUGUCGUCCCUAAAGACUAAAAUCAUCAGCAUACAUUUUUGAUGUAAAAUUUUUGUAAAUUAAUUGCAAGGUCCUAUAAAUAUUAUAUUUACUAAAAUUGUGUUGUCUGCUGUCUUCAAAGAAAUAAUCUUUUCCUUUUUCUUUCUCUCUCUUUUUUUUUUUAACUAUGUUUCGUAUGCAGUACAUUUCCUGAGGCAGAAAACAAAAACAUGGAACAAAAUAUUAGCCUUUUACUUUUGUAGUUUUACAUUCUACUAUUUCUCUUUUUGAACUCUGGGGUUUCUUUUUAAUAUAGAGAAAAAGAUCAGUAACACUGUCAUUAAUCAUGACCAAUUUUCAGUUUCUCACUGUUCAGUUGAUCAAAAAAUUGAAUAUCCAUCCCAAAUAAUAAGGCAGUAUUCUUGCAUUUGAUUUUCUCACAGACCAGGAAAAUAAAUUCAAAAUGUCAAACGUUUUGUAGAAUAUCUUUUUCUGCAAUUCCUAUUCAGAAACAAUAAAAUGAAAUCUUUUAGAUGUCUCAUAAUGAAAGUGCUCCCACCCAGUUACAUCCUGGGAGAAAUUAUCUAUCACGACUUAUAAAGGAAAUAUCGUCUGCAACCACCCAUAGAGGAACCUGACAGACUGUCAAAGACCUGGAACUACAGUUGUCAAAAGUCCCUGAGAUAACUUGGGUAGAUGCCAAGAUUAAUAAGCCUAAUUAAAAUUACACUACUUUAUUUCCAUUUUUUCCUUGUAGAAUAAUAAACCACAGUCAGCCUAGAUUUUGUUUUUUAAAGAUCUAUUUUUUUACCUGGCUGUGUUAACAUCUCUCCAGUUGCAUUAUCUCACAGUCUGGUAUGUCCUGUGCAACCCAGAUGUAUAGUUGUUUCACAAGAUUUAUGAGUACAUGGCAAAGUUCUCAAGACAAACAGAUUAUGUCCUUUCCGAAUAGCUGUGUUUGACUGCAGGAGCUACAGAGUAUUUUGGAUAAAUGUGCUCAGCAGGCCUUUCUUUGAAGGAGACAGAUAGUGUAACAGCUAAUAUCAAGAACAGUGAUUAGCACCAAUAGAUUUUAGCAGAUUUACUCCAGUCAUAAUGGUAGCCCUUAAACUUGAGGAGGCAGUGCACUGGACUUACAUUAACUCUAGCAAAUUUGCUCCUAGAAAAGCAGUGGAAAACCUAGGGAAGAUUCUUACUAAUAAAGCACACUUUCAUAAGAAAAUCUGCUCUCCAAGGAAGAUCAGGGACAAGAUUAUACAGACAACCAGGACAAAAAUCAGUAGACAAGAAAAACUUCAGAAAUACUUAGUCUGUGGUUACUGUCUAAGAAUUAACUAUUUUUUUAUUUUUUAUUUUUUUGUUAAGACAGAUAUCAGGUCACUUUUUGAGACCAAUCACAGCUGCAGCUAUACCUGGAGUAGGACCUUGCUUUGGUUCUUCAUGAUUGCUAUAUCUAAAGUACAGCAGGAUGCAGCCAGAUAUGUCAAACUGCCCUUGUUUUCAACCAGGUAUUAGAUUCACAACUUCCUAAUGUAAAGAAAAAAAAAAAUUAUCUGUACUUUUGAAGACUGAAUUCAUCUCCAGGUAAUACAAAUGAGAAACGGUGCUCUUCCCCACAGUAAUAGGAUUGCAAUCAAGCUCUCAAUGUGAUUUACAAACUCUGUAGUGUUAACCAAUUACUUGCUGGUCAGCCAAUAACAAUGACUGAAUCAUCUUUUGCUUCAGAAAAGGAUCACUGCGCACAAGUUGGAGAAUCUCACAGCACUGCCUUCAAACCAUUCCUACUAAAUAAGACACUGCACUUCUCUGUCGAUAGAUACUAUAUGGUAUUUUAGCCCAAGAAACUUAUGUCAGGAUCUAUAAAAACAACUGGGAACAUGCAGAAUAAUUGAAUCUUAAAUGAUUGUGUAUAAUGUGUCUGCAUUUAUAUUUCAGCAUUUAAAUGCGUUUCAAUACUUUGGUGUGUGAAAGGGUUAAACAAUAACAGAUUUCCUGUGCUAAACAGCUUAAUGAAAAACAUUCAGGGUGCUUUUUUAGAACAACAGACUCAUACUGCAAAAUGAUAAUCUUUGGUAUGUCCUUUUUUUUUUUCUUUUUCACAAGUAACAAUAUAGGCGAGACAGACUUUGCUAUAAUUCUUCCUAAUUGCUCUAAUGCAUUUCAUUUUAUUUUAGUGUUUUCAGUUUAUAAAAACAGUUAGCAUCAGUUUGUUUCCAGUUUUAAUGGAGAUAAACUCCUUCUUUUCCCCCUGAAAAAAUUCACAAUAUGGUUGGAAAUGUCAGCAAUAAUUAGACAAAAUGCUUGUGAAACAUAAAAUAAAAACAAUACGUCUUUUUAUAAUGGAAUCAGUUUGUCUGAUUAUCUCAAACAAUGUACAUUUCCAACUGCCCAGGAGGGUCAUUAGAGCUUAUGAAAAUCAAAGUCUGCUUUUUCUGCUUCAGACAUCAUGGACAACAAUAUUGUCUCCAGGAUCAUUAUAAAUAUAUGUUAGACUUUCUUGAACUACAGUGAACCUGAAGCAUGAAAUGCAUUUAAAGAUAAAAACAUCAGGGGGAAAAAAAAAGAAAAAAUGAAAAACAAAACAAAAAAGCAAACAAAUAAAUCCACUUUGUGUUAUUAACUAAAUAAGUGUUACAUAGAAAUUAUAGUUGGAUACAUAACCUCGCUGAAUACAGUACUCAAGGGACCUUGGUUCUAUUCUGUCAUCAGUCACAGAUUUCCAGUAUAACCUCAGAAAAGUCAUUUCCUACCCUAUGCACAAUGAGGGCUAUUUGUCCCUUAAAGAGAUGGUUGUGACAGAGCUCCCUUCUGAGUUCCUGUCUAGGUGUGAAGUCUAAUUCAAGAAGUUUCUGUUAUUCCUUUGAGAUACACUCAGAGAAUAGACAAGAGUAUCACUUCUACCUUUUUUCCCAUUUGUAGAAAUGGGGCUAAUAUUCUCUUGCUCUCACUGGAGAGUUUAUGGAUACAAUCCAUUAGUGUGUGAGAGGCAUUCAGAUACCAUGAUGACAAGGACCAUUUAGCAAGUAAAUAUCUGGAUGGAGUAGGAGGAAUUCAGCUGCUGUUACCACAUUACAUUACAAAUAGUUUAGGACAAAAGACAAACGGGAAGUCUGAUAAGUUUAUCGUAUGAUCAGUUAUAGUCAUACAACAAUUCUGCACUCAAGGAACCUGGAAAGCUGUUUCAAAAAUGAAGUUUCCACCUGUUUAGUUUGUUUACCAAUAAGUGUGGCAGUAUGCCUAUUCUGCCCAGUGGUUUAAGCACUUUUCUCCUGCUCAUACAUGCUGGGUUUUCAGUCUUCAAUUGCAUCUUUCAGAUUCAGCAGCAGUGUCACACGGCAAGAUGGAAUUCUAGGGAUGCUGCUGCGUUGUUUUGGAUGGGAUCCUACUAUAUCAGCUGCCAAAGUGCCCAAGGAAAAACUGAAACUUACAGGAAAAUUAUAGCGACAUGAAGAAAUUUCAUUAAAAGUGACAUGUUCUAAACCUUUUAGAAAUACAAAAAUCUGUUGAAGAUCCCAAGAUGUGUGUAGAAAAUGUGGGUAAGAAAAGAAAAUGCAUUACUAAACUAAUCUAAAACCAAAGCAGGUAUUUCUCUGCUAUAGUAUUGCUACACAUAUGCUCUUGUUAGUACAAGCAAAUGCUUACCAAUAAUGAACAAUCUCUGUUGGUUGCAAUGCUCAAGCACAAAUUAAACAAUGCUAAAAACUAUUAUUAAAGCACAUGAAGGAAUUAAUACAUAAAAUCCUUCUGCUACUUCAAAUUCACAGCAAAGCGAUUCCUCUCAGCUAAGCCAUCAGUACAAUGUACAGAAGCCUAUUUUUAGGAAUGGUUAAGGGAACAUACUUUCCAUGGAUCUCCAUGUAUUUCAAGCCUACUAAGGGUACAACCCAUCCUAUCAGAGUAGGUUUAUUUGGAGGAGGAGGACAAGGAUCCCUGCUCACACUGCCUCCCAUGGCAUGAGAAAUGAGAAUAUUCUCGACAUCCCAGUAGCAAUAGGAGUAGAUAUGAUCCACUGUAAAAUCCUGUGAGCUUCAUUAUCAGUUUCAGAUGAGGGUUCUGUUUGUAAUUAGCAGAAACCAAACCAAUGAAGUAGUAUUUGGUUUUCUUUUGUGUGUUUUGCUCUCCAACAGUUGCUGAACACUUCAUUUUAGUCCACCAAUUCCUCAGCUAGUGACACAGCCCAGUCAGGGUCACAGGCCCAAAAUGUAUUCCACCUCUAUGCUCACCUGUCUCUUAAGCAGGGAAAUUAAAAUUCAUUGUCAAAAUAAGCAGAGAUUUUGCAGAUUGAAACAAGAGAGGAAUAGCACUUCUCUCUCUUGUGUCUUCUACAGUGUAACACAGCAGAGAAAGUAAAGCCCAGGGAAAAACAAAUUAGAGUGACCCCAAUGUCCUGAAGACAAUAUUUUCAAGCUUCAUCAUUGAAAUAAAGAUUUGAGAAAUCACCAAUCAACAGCUCAAAUCCACCAGAAGCAGAACGUCAAGUUUGGGCCCACAUGCAGAUUCUCACAUGAGGCUUUCACAUGGCAAGCUCCAUUUCUUCUAAAUUUUUCACUAUCAAAACUACUUCGAUGAAAUCAGAGUCAGCUGAAGAGAAAAAGGCAAAUCCUUCCGGGAUGAGGAAGAAACAGAAGGAAAAGAGAAGAGAAUUGAGAUGGAAAAUACAUUCUUGUCUCCAGAAAUAAGCAAGGCUCCCCAGAAUUUGGAGAUUAUGCAGUCACAGUUACCACAGCAAACGUAUUCUGAGCCGUGUCUUGGACCAUCCCAUUAAAGAUUUUCAAAUACACAACUAUAGGACUGCUUGCAAGAGGGCUGCAUAUUUGAAAUUUGUUUAAAUGCUAGUGUUAUGGAAAGCAUAAUCGGUACAGAUAUACCAAAACUGAGUCUGUAAAACAGAAAAUAAACCUUGCCAUUUGCCAUUUAGAGGCAGUUUAAAACAAGGUCUUUGACUUUGGACUGUACCUGGCAGGUUAGAGAUUCACUAGAUGUGCAGAAGAUGCAGCAAACUGAGAUCAUAGACUAAUGAUUUAGAUUUAAGAUUUAAACUAUAUCUCAUUGUCAUUGAGAUAACAUAAUAACUGAAUUAAAAAAAAAAAAAAACUGGCUUUUGUCAGUGCAAAAAUUAAGCUCUUGUGCUUGCCUCAGUAAUGAAAUAUACAACAUCUCUUGUUGUCCUUACCUUUGAACUGCAGAUAACUGUACAGCAAUGUUACAGGACAGAGAUACACUUGUGAAAUAUUCACGAGCUGAUGUCUUUGCAGCCCCACGGGACCAGUGAAGAGCUCUUUUUUCCCCCACAUCUCUCUCUCAGACUUUAAAUAAUGAGGAGCAGAAAAGGUAUGAGACAACAUGUCUGUGUGUCUCCUUUGAAAUCUUUUCUUACAUUACCUUGUUAUCUGUGCUCAAGAGCAGCAGGUAUUCCAGCAGUUCAGAGUGUAUCCACAGCAAAAACACCCAGCAAAAUAGACUACCAGUCGACACAGCUUUCAGUUCCUGGUCCAGUCGGCAAAACACAAAACUAAUACAUAGGGGAGUGCCAGCCUGGCUGAGGCUAGAGGGGAGUGAAGGCAGAAUUUUUGCCAACCAGUGAUUUAGGAAAAUAUAUAUUAUUCAUCCUGGAAAACAACCUAAUGCACUGUUUCCUACUCUGUGCUCUGAAAGUGCCUUCAUAUGGAAAGCUAUUAAACUUCUAUAUGUUUUUAGCAUUACAGCGUGGAUCAAAGCCUGACCACCCCAGGCAGAUGAGAGUGUCAGAUCCCUCCACCAGUCAGGAGGAUUUGGAUCAGUGUUUUCACUUUAGCCGUCAGUGGUGAAGAAAUCCAUCCAGACCUGAAUUUGGAGUUUUUCCUAUGCUACAGUACUGUGCAUUGGGAAAGACCAUCCUGAACUUACUAUGGGUGGAAUUCCACUUGUUUCUACCACUCUAAGUCAGGCUGGAGCAUGGACAAGAAUUAAAUCAGACCAGACUUAUCAGGGGAAUUCACCUUGUCAUCAAGGCAAACGUAACACUUUUUUUUUUUUUUUUUUUUUUUGAGGAGGCAUCACAUUUUAAAUUUCAAGUGCUGUAAGUCUUCUAACCCCCUUUUUUUAUUCCUUCUGUGAUACAAAAAUGCUUAUAUAACAGGUAUUUUCCCACACCAGCCUUAAAAGCCCUUAUUUCCUUUCUUUUUUUAUUUCAACAGACUAAUAGUCAUUGCAACACAGGUGACAGUAAAUCAAAUCAAGUUGAAAUGUCGGCCUGACUCAUUCUCAGACGAUAUAUGAUUUGUUUGCAUUGCAUUAUCUUGGAAACCCAUAGCCAGUGUGCACUAACUACAUGUCUGCACAUGGCAAGAAGAUAAACACCCUUAGCCAGUAAUAUAAAAUCUAAAUAAAAUUACAAUCAGGUUUGUAUACUAGGAUAGCUUUGUAACACCCAUGGGGCAUUACUCUUAUCAUUAGAAUUAUUUGCAUUAGAGCAGUGUCCAAAGAUCCUGCCUAUGAUCAGGUUCAAAUUGUGCUAGGCUCUGGAAAACAUGGGAAGAGACAAAAAUUCUGAAUGUUAAAUAGAUAAUUACAUGCAAAGGGUGUGAGAAAGAAAGGAUGGCUAUCAUUAUUUUGUAGAGAACUUAGGUGUGGAGAUUACAUUUUUGCUACAUUCUAAGCAUAGGUGCAAAGCAAUGCUGAAGUACAAGUCUGAUUUGCAUGUUCUUUGCACACCAUAACAUGUGUAGGUUACCACGGCUUUGUGGAAAUACUGAUAACAGUGGGAGAGAAAGCUUGAGUCUUCCAUCUCCAGCCACACACAUGGGCAGCUGGAAACGGGUGGCUAGGCUUUUCGCCUGAGGCAACAGCCACGCAUCCUGUCAUGCUGUCCUCUGACACUAUUUGAGUGCUGAUCAGACACGCCUGCCCAAGUUGUUCCCAUAAAGGCUUAGAGCCCUGCAACACAGGAUAGAUGGGCAGGAGAGUUACAGGAACGCCAAGCCCAGAGUCAGAUACCUGAAUGGAUGCCCAGACAACAUGAGUGGGUUUUUUGUUUAUUUUUUCUUUUUCCUCUCUUGGGCAGACCACAUGUUUUCUGUAAAGUCAUAAAAAAAUCUAAGUGGUGCUAAGAACCAGUCACCUCACUCCAGUUUGGCAUUUGCAAAUUCACCAUUCCUCUCUAAGGUAACAGCUGCUGGAACUACACCAGCAACUUCUUCAAAAAACAGGACAAGUGGUCUUUCAGUGGUGAAAGAUCUGCUGAACUCAAAGGAAGCUGCAUCUGGAGUAACAUUUCAAUGUAUACGCUGUGCAUGCUUACAAGUUUUAUGAUUACAGAAACAGCCAGCACAAUGCUGGGCUGACGAAAGAGGGGGUGGAUGUUUAGAUGCUGCUGUUUCACUUCAUGUUGGCAGGGAUAUGGAAAUUAUGAAGUGAUAAGGAGAGAUGUAAGAGGGAGGAGAAGGCAUGAGUGAUUGAUUAUGUGCUUAAUUAAGCAAUGUUGGCCACAUCAAGUUGUAGUGAAGUCUCUGUACAUCUGUAGCAUGCUUUUAGUCCCAGGCAAUAAAUUGGCUACCUGCCUCUGAAUGGACAGUGAGGGGAAAAUACUUUUGAAGGUAGAAAUGUUGGCUAUCCAGAAGCGAUGGAUGGUUACUUACUAUUUUUUUUUGUCUUUGAAGACUGUAUAUUAUCAGUUAACAUAAUGAACUCACCAAGUGGUCCAGUAACCCACGGAAGUAAUUCUACUUAGAUCACUGAAAUAAAAGGCAGGAGCAAGGCUUUCAGACUUAGGCCUCAAACAAAAACUAACAUUCAAGGAUAGCAAGCUUUUCCUCCUGUUUAAGCUCCUUUAAUAAAAAUGCAAAUAUUGCUUUCUUAACCACAAUAGGAACUCUAGUCAUUAUUUUUCAAUACUAAUGUUAGUGUUUUCCUAUAACUUCUGUUGUGCUGUAAUUCUAGAGGCCCAUGUCUAAUCCCAUAUGUAAUGUGUUUAUUAGAUGUAAUAUUUUAUCUCUUGGAUACAGUUUCUGACACUAUCAUUUUGUUCUUAUUUCAAUAAAACUGAUUUCCUUCCUUCUCACCCUGACAGGAUGCAUUGAAUUUCUUUAUCACAGAAGAAAGUUAGAAAGGUUCUCCCAUAAAAGACAAAAAUGGACUGCAUGUAGUGUGGCUUAAUUUAAUUUAUCUCAUAAAGUCCAGACCAAAUAAAGUAACUUUAUAAUAUUAGAUACGGCCAGAAUUGAGCUGGGAUUCUUUUGUUGUUGUUGUUUGUUUUUAAUAUAUGGUUAUCUAGUCUCAGUAAAUCUGUAGCUCAUUGGCUUCACCACCUGUAUCCUUCUGAACACAGAAUGAAACAGUACCAAAUGCUCAUGCAAUUUCUGAUUUUCUUUGGGAAUUCACUAUCUGUGUGCUUUAAUCAAGUGAUAAUAUGUAGGAACCAUUCCAGCUUUCAGCUGACAAAAGCACAAUAUUAGUUGUUUGAUGAGAACUCCUCUAUGGAUACAAAUUCCACAUGGAUUUUCCCAGGCUUUGUAAAUUUAUUAAAAAAUAAUAUAUUCUAUACACAAUUAGAACAUGAAUGUUAAAAGAGUAAGUAAAGUAAUUUGUUGGGAAUGUGAAAUCAUCUAGAAAAGAAAGAUGUUUUCGUAUAAUUUUAGCUGUCACAUAAUAAUUUGCAAAACACAGAAGGCAUUUGAAACCUUUGGUAUCCAGAUCCAGAUUCCCAGUAGAAAAGUAUUCCUUUCAGGCUACCUUCUGGAAUAAAGGUCUUCUUUAUCUCCUUUAUCAUAUUGGUAGUGUUUCACUAAACAGACAGUCAGAAGCUGCUGUUGAAUAGGGAAGCUGGAAAACGCUCAUCUUAUUUCAUAUUCAUUUUCCACACCUUGUCAACAACUGCACAGCUCACCACUGAAGCUGCAUUUCAUGCAAUGCAUCCAAAGGUUACAACUUAUAGGUCAGAGAUGGGAAUUUUCACUUCGCAAUCACUGGGCAGCUGAGACUCCAUACAUUACUGUGGUGACAGGUAUAGUACGCAGUGAUGAACCUUCUGUCAGUCAGACAGAGGUCACAUUGGUAUCAGUUACUAACAUACCCCUCUCCUAGCUUAAAAAAAAAAAAAAAAAAAAAAAAAAAAGGAAAAUUAAAAAAAGUCUAUUUUUUUUCUUCUUGUGGAAAAUGGAAACAGAGUUGAUGUUCACUAAUGUCAAGUGGCAGGAGAUUUAGAGCCCCAGAGCUCAGGAGGUCUCCUGUAGCUGUGCUGGCAGUACUUUCAGCACCAACAUAAAUCGCCGCCUGAACUGAAACCCACAAAAGCUGUUCCAGAAGAAACUACAACAGCCACGUAAACAUGUACUGGACAGGAAACAAUGAACUCCAACCUGGUACUGGAGAAUCCAAAAUAAGAGCAUGUCAACUUCCUGGUCAUAGCUAUUUUAUUUUUUUUCGUAUUUAGCAUCACUUACACAAAAACAGUUAAAAAUUAUUACCUUAGCAGACAGUCAGAUUUUUAGUUUUUGUAAUGAGGUGGCUGAAUCUCACAUUAAAGAGGAAGCUGUAACACAAAUAAGAGGAAGUGAAUAAGUACUUAAGAUGUACCUUCAACUCCGUAAUUUUAACGCUUUCAUGAAGAGAUCAGAAUACAAAAUCUAUCAUCAUUAAUUAUAUCCUGUUAUACCAUCCUUGUGUUCUUUGCCAAAUAAAUGCCAUAACACAUCAGAUAACAACAGAAUAUUUACAUUACAAAGGUUAAAGGAUCAUGCUAUCUGUAGCUAGGUCAAAGUAUUUUGGUCAACUGCAAUAAAAUUUUGUCUGAAGGUCCCCAGAGGUUAAUGCGAUCACUGAACUUCACAGUCAGUUUAUGAAUAAGACCUUAAAAGAAUAUUCCUAAGUUCCUGCAUUUUCCUACUUGUGGUACUUGAACAUCCACAAGCAAAUACUGGCCUUCCUAAACAAGACAGUUGGAUGACACAUUUUUUUUGUGUCAAAAAGGAAGCCCUUCUUCCCCUCAAAAAAAAAGAAAAAAAAAAAAAACCUAGCAUAAAGCAGACUCUAUACACAUGGAAUAAAUUGAUUUUACCAAGGCUAAAUUUGUCUAGUGGAGCCUAUACUUGAGAUCAUUCAAGCGCUCUCUUGAGUUAUCUCAUUGUAGCAGAGUUUGCAGGACAGGGCCUUGAAUUUGUUUCUGCCAUACAAAGUUGAUAUAUAAGAAGACAGGAUUUAAUUGAAACAUCUUGAAAGAG